AGAGAGAGACAUGCGCGCAUAUCAAUAAGCGGAGGAAAAGAAACUAACAAGGAUUCCCCUAGUAACGGCGAGUGAAGCGGGAAGAGCUCAAAUUUGAAAUCUUAAAGGGUUUCCCUUUACGAAUUGUAGUUUAAAGAAGUGUUUUCUGUUGAGGUUUUGGUAAAAGUUCUUUGGAAUAGGACAUCAUAGAGGGUGAGAAUCCCGUAUUUGACCUUUACUUUCAACUUUGUGAUACACUUUCAAAGAGUCGGAUUGUUUGGGAAUGCAGUCCAAAAUGGGUGGUAAAUUUCAUCUAAAGUUAAAUAUUGGCGAGAGACCGAUAGCGAACAAGUACCGUGAGGGAAAGAUGAAAAGAACUUUGAAAAGAGAGUUAAACAGUACGUGAAAUUGUCAAAAGGGAAGCGUUUGACACCAGUGUUGUUUUUCUGAAAAUCAAUUAAAGAACUGUUUAUGCUAAGCUGUUUAGACUUUAUCAGCUAACUGUUUAGUUUUGAGCUUUUCUUUAAUGCACUUUUCAGUUAACAAGUCAACAUCAAUUUCUUUUGCUGUAAAAAAGCUUGAGGAAGGUGGCUUGAGAUUCGUCUUAAGUGUUUAUAGCCUCUUGCCUAUGCAGUCGGAGAGAUUGAGGUCUGCAGCGUAGAUCCUUCGGGGCUAAAUGCAUUUGUGCUAAGUUAUAGCAUUUUAUAGACAACUUGUUGACUAUGAUUUGUCUUGUAGCUUACUCGCUUAUGUUAUUUUACCUACGCUUAGGAUGUUGAGCGCAUGUCUCUCUCU
rnacentral:rRNA from 1 species